rnacentral:sRNA from 1 species
UGGCUGUCGUCAGCUCGUGUCGUGAGAUGUUGGGUUAAGUCCCGCAACGAGCGCAACCCUUGUCCUGUGUUGCCAUACCGAAAGGUGGAACUCGCAGGAGACCGCCAGCGAUAAGCUGGAGGAAGGUGGGGAUGACGUCAAGUCCUCAUGGCCUUUAUGUCCAGGGCUACACACGUGCUACAAUGGGCGGUACAAAGGGUCGCUAACCCGCGAGGGGGAGCCAAUCCCAAAAAACCGUUCUCAGUUCGGAUUGCAGGCUGCAACCCGCCUGCAUGAAGCUGGAAUCGCUAGUAAUGGCAGAUCAGCACGCUGCCGUGAAUACGUUCCCGGGCCUUGUACACACCGCCCGUCACACCAUGGGAGUUGAUUGCACCAGAAGCAGGUAGCCUAACCGCAAGGGGGGCGCCUACCACGGUGUGUUCAAUGACUGGGGUGAAGUCGUAACAAGGUAGCCGUACGGGAACGUGCGGCUGGAUCACCUCCUUUAAAGAGACAGCGCCAAAGAACGUGUCUGCGCGAGCCUCCCUUCACAAGUUACUUAUUCAAAUGUUUAGUUGGUUGGUAUGCCCUUACUGAGGGCGACCCGACGCUGGCCCCCGGGUCUGUAGCUCAGUUGGUUAGGGCGCACCCCUGAUAAGGGUGAGGUCGGAGGUUCAACUCCUCCCAGACCCACCAAAUCAAACCGGGUCAAAGCGUCGAGCAAAGCCAGGUUCAAUCGGACGGGGCCAUAGCUCAGCUGGGAGAGCGUCGCGUUUGCAACGCGAAGGUCGUCGGUUCGAUCCCGACUGGCUCCACCAGACCCAACUAUUCGAUCACGGCGUGUCAUGAGUCAUGCGUAGGUUGCCCGCCGCAGGAAAGGGGGCGAUUGCAUCACUCAUGGCAUGCGAGUCAUGAGACUCGUAUGUGUUCUUUAAAAAUUCGGCAAUUUGUUUUGAUGUCUGACUUCAAGCGAAAGCUUGCAAGUUGGGUGUCGCAUUCGAGAACCAGUUGAUUGAGUGAUGUAACUCCAAAUCGCUUGGGGUUAUAUGGUCAAGUGAAUAAGCGCACAUGGUGGAUGCCUUGGCGACAGAAGGCGAUGAAGGACGUGGUAGCCUGCGAUAAGCUUCGGGGAGCCGGCAAAUAUGCAUCGAUCCGAAGAUUUCCGAAUGGGGAAACCCGG